rnacentral:misc_RNA from 1 species
GAUGAAGAACGUAGCGAAAUGCGAUAAGUAGUGUGAAUUGCAGAAUUCAGUGAAUCAUCGAAUCUUUGAACGCACAUUGCGCCCCUUGGUAUUCCAUGGGGCAUGCCUGUUCGAGCGUCAUUUGUACCUUCAAGCUUUGCUUGGUGUUGGGUGUUUGUCUCGCCUUUGCGUGUAGACUCGCCUUAAAAUAAUUGGCAGCCGGCGUAUUGAUUUCGGAGCGCAGUACAUCUCGCGCUUUGCACUCAUAACGACAGCGUCCCAAAGUACAUUUUACACUCUUGACCUCGGAUCAGGUAGGGAUACCCGCUGAACUUAAGCAUAUCAAUAAGCGGAGGA